UACACUAGAUCGCUCGUCGGCAGCGUCAGAUGUGUAUAAGAGACAGGUGAAAUAUUAUAUGACCAAGCCAGAGCACUUGAUUCUUCUGAAUCGAGCUAUCUGGUUUGCGACUACUGGCUAUCACCGGUAGGUAAGGUAAAAAAUCGGCGUGGUUAGCAGAACAAGUUUGAAUACUUGGUCAAAGAGCGUGAAAGCCGCGUAUGUGAAAACAACGCUGACCUUAUGUAUGGUGUUUCGAGUAGGUCGGGGCACGAGAAACCCUGAUUGAAUCCGGCUGGACCACCAGCCAAGGCUAAAUAUAAUAUACGAUCGAUAGCGAACUAGUACAGUGAUGGAAAGGUGAAAAGAACCCCGGGAGGGGAGUGAAAUAGAUCCUGAAAUUGUGUGCCUACAAGGAGUCGGAGCCGGCUUGUCCGGUGACGGCGUGCUUUUUGUAGAACGAUCCAGCGAGUUAAUUUCGUGCGCAAGGUUAAGCCAAUUGGCGGAGCCACAGUGAAAGCGAGCCUGAAUAGGGCGAAUGAGUGCACGGGAUUAGACCCGAAACCGGGUGACCUAACCAUGAGCAGGCUGAAGCGACGGUAACACGUCGUGGAGGGCCGAACCAGGGUACGCUGCAAAGUGCUUGGAUGACUUGUGGUUAGCGGUGAAAUGCCAAUCGAACUCGGAGAUAGCUGGUUCUCCUCGAAACAGUUUUAGGACUGGCGUCAUGUAGUAGCAGUCGGGGGUAGAGCUCUGUAAAGGACUGGGGCUGGCAACGGUACCCACCCUUAACAAACUACGAAUACCGACUGUGGAAUCAUGGCAGUUAGAACGGCGGAGCUAAGUUCGUCGCUCAAAAGGGAAACAGCCCAGACCAUCGUCUAAGGUCCCUAAAUUUACGUUAAGUGGGAAACAAGGUGAGAUUUCUUAAACAGCUAGGAUGUUGGCUUAGAAGCAGCCAUUCAUUUAAAGAGUGCGUAACAGCUCACUAGUCAAGAGAUCUUGCGUGGAAAAUGUAACGGGGCUAAACGUAAUACCGAAGACAUGGAUUGUAUGCUUUGCAUACAGUGGUAGAGGAGCGUUCCUAUCAGCAGUGAAGCAGUAUUGUAAAGUAUUGUGGAGCGGUAGGAAGUGAGAAUGCUGGAAUGAGUAACCAUAAGAGAGGUGAGAAUCCUCUCGGCCGUAAGAGCAAGGUUUCCUGAGCCAUGGUAAUCAUCUCAGGGUUAGUCGGGCCUAAGCCGAGGCGCAGAGCGUAGGCGAUGGACAUCAGGUUAAUAUUCCUGAACCGGUAUAUACUUGUAUGCUAUUCACGGCGAGAUAUCCGGAGCGGAUUCAUGGUUUAUCCGUCCAACCUCGUGGGAACGCGAAGGGAGUGAAAGUUACCUUUUUUGGGUGACGAUUCUGGAGAAGGCGCUGGCAAGAAAAGUAGACAUACGCGUGGUAUAUGCCGCCCGUACCGCAAACCAACACAGGUGCUCGAGUCGAGUAGACUCAGGCUUACGAGAGAACCUUCGCUAAGGAACUCGGCAAUACAGCGACCGUAACUUCGGAAUAAGGUCUGCCCCCACUUCGGUGGAUAUGUUGUCAGUUUCAUAGCUCUAUAAGGUGUGGUUAAAGAGUAUCUUUAAUACAUCAAUUCUUCUUGAGAUAGAACCAAGCUUUGGAACUGAAGCUCAACACAUCUAACGAUGUGGGGGCCGCAGCAAAAGAGCCCACGGAACUGUUUAUCAAAAACACAGCUCUCUGCUAACACGAAAGUGGAUGUAUAGGGGGUGACUCCUGCCCGGUGCUGGAAGGUUAAGGGGAGUGCUUUACGGUGCGAACUGAAGCCCCAGUGAACGGCGGCGGUAACUAUAACCGUCCUAAGGUAGCGAAAUUCCUUGUCAGGUAAGUUCUGACCCGCACGAAUGGAGUAAUCAUGUGGGCACUGUCUCAGCGAAGGACUCGGUGAAAGUGCAUUGGCGGUAAAGAUGCCGUCUGUCCAUACCAGGACGAGAAGACCCCAUGGAGCUUUACUACAGCUUUACAUUGAUCCGGGUUUCAACAUGUGUAGCAUAGUUGGGAGACUGCGAAGCAGAUACGCUAGUAUUUGUGGAGUCGCAAUGUGAAAUACCAACCUUGUUGUGAUCUUGAUCUCACUUGUGCCGUUAUCCGGUAUGAGGACCGUGUAUGGUGGGUAGUUUAACUGGGGCGGUUGCCUCCUAAAGAGUAGCGGCUGUCUCUUAUACACAUCUGAC
rnacentral:rRNA from 1 species